GGGCGUGUUGAGCAGCUGGGACGCGGUCGCGGGCCCGAAGCCGGGCGACGUGGUGCCGGGUGUUGGGCUGUUUUAUCGGCACUUACAGCUGUGGGAGGGGCCCAGAACCCAGCAUUUGGAGCUGAAGGAGCCGGGGACAGUAGCUAGUCUCCAGCCCACAUGUUAUGGACGAAGAAACGCAGCCCACAGAGCUGAAGUGACUUUGUCCGAGGUCGCCCAGGUAGGAGACAGCACAGCCAGGCUCCGUCCUGGCCUCGAGUCCUGCUGCCCAGCCCGUGGGCCAGCUCCGCCCUUGGGCCGUUGGAUGGAAGGCUCCUGUCUGCUGACUUCUCCAGUAUUCCCCGGUGGAGGGGUGCACUGUGGUCGGGGGCUCACUGCAGGCGGGCAGCCUGGGAGCGCCCACCGGAACAACUGCGGAGCCAACUUCACCCCAAGUUGACUCCCUGGGCUGCCAAGUCUGCGUGCUGCCGGCACGGAUGCCCCUGCUGUGUGCACAGCUCCUUCUGCAGACACCUGUGCGCACAGCUCCUUCUGCAGACACCUAGACACCUGAGCCUGCAGGGCCUUCAGCCAAGACCUUUGGCAGGAAUUAGGCUCUGGAGAAGCGGCUGCAGGCAGCUUUCGGUUUCCAGAACAACAAACACAGUCUCCUGCACGGCACACCCCUGCCCCCACCCGUCGGCCCCCCUGCACCGUCCUGCGCUCCCGCGGAGAACGGAGCGCUGGUUGCUAUGUGGGUGACAGGAUUUGACACCAGUGGUGGGAGAGUCACCCACCCCCACCUGCCCGACAAAUUCCAAGAAGUAGCAUUUCAGGAUCAAAAGGUAUGAAUUUUUAAAGCUUUUGAAAAGUUUUACUGCCUCCAGGAAGGCGGGUCCGGCCCUGGCCCGGGUGGCUCAGUUGGCUGAACGCCAUUCCAUGCACCGCGGUCACGGGUUCAAUGCCCUGUCAGGCGCUAUCCCCAGGAGGGGGCGUGCAGGAAGUGGCCUGUCCGUGUUUCUCUCCCUCUCCCUUCCUCUCCCUCUAAAAUCAAUAAAAACAUUUUUUUUAAAAAGAAAGAAAGGUGGGUCCAGUGCGUAGUAGGGGUGUUGGAGCCCCGGUUUCCCACACCCUCCUCCACGGUGGGCAUGGCUUGGGGACCGUCCCAGCCCUUGGGCUCUCUUCUCGCCCUGCAGCUUUCCUGGUCUGAGAGCUGCUCCUCUGCCUGCCCUGCUCUGACCAGACGCAGGGUGUUCCAGAGAAAGGGCUGUUCCUUCUGCCACACCCCCAUUAUCAGGCACGGAGCACGAGCAGUGGGGGUGCCAGGGGGGGUGGGUGAGGCAGAGGGAGGAGAGGUCAGAGGUGAGGGAGGAGAGGGGGGAGGGAAGGUGGACUGUGACCGACACUUGCAGUUCUGAGCUGGGCCCAGGAUGGGUGUCUGAUUCCCGGGCAGGGCAGCCCCAGAGAAGGUCUGACACCAGCCUGGGAACCACGCUGGGCUCCCUCAGGGUGCGGACCCCUGGCCCUUGGUCAGGAUGAGCCCGGGAUCUGCAUCUCAAAUGAGCAGCCUGGCAGCCAGUUUAAGAGCUGGGACCAGGUCCGGGGUAACGUUGAACCCAUCACUUUUCAGGUGCAGGGCCUCCCGACCGCUCCUCCAGGCCCUGAUAGCACAGGCCCCAGAGGCCUGGGAAGAGCGGGGAGGGAGGUUGUGACUACAUUUCUCCACACCCCAGACCAAACGGGGCGCUGGGAACAGAGCGUUCGAGCCCCCGGAGUUGCCCAUCCCGUCUGGGCCACGUGGUUUUGAGAAAAUCCAGCCGUGUCUGUGUUUCAGGCCCCCUCGGGGGUAGAAAGAAUUCACCGAGGCCAGAGGGCAGCGAGGAGCGGUGGGUCCAGGCAGGUGUGUGUUUAGGUUUUCCCCCAAAGACUGAGCCUCAGAGAGGACUUUGAGUUCCGGACCUCGCUUAGGUGAAGGAAGUCAAGCUAAGACUCACCCAGCUCUCGCCGUGUGUCGGGGCUACAAAGUGUGUCCCCCACCUUGGGCCUUGACUAGACUCUGCUGGUCCAGGAGCUGCCACCAGAGAGCAGAUCCUAGUUCUAGGUCAGUGGUUGGCAAACUGCGGCUCAGCAAACCGUGGCUCUCGAGCCACGUGCGACUCUUUGGCAGGAGUUCUAUGUAAGCGGCGCAAGGCGGCGAGGU